CUCUAGAAACCACUUUCUUUGCUCAUCCAUAAG
rnacentral:miRNA from 1 species